GAUGAACGCUGGCGGCGUGCCUAAUACAUGCAAGUCGAGCGAACAGACGAGGAGCUUGCUCCUCUGACGUUAGCGGCGGACGGGUGAGUAACACGUGGAUAACCUACCUAUAAGACUGGGAUAACUUCGGGAAACCGGAGCUAAUACCGGAUAAUAUAUUGAACCGCAUGGUUCAAUAGUGAAAGACGGUUUUGCUGUCACUUAUAGAUGGAUCCGCGCCGCAUUAGCUAGUUGGUAAGGUAACGGCUUACCAAGGCAACGAUGCGUAGCCGACCUGAGAGGGUGAUCGACCACACUGGAACUGAGACACGGUCCAGACUCCUACGGGAGGCAGCAGUAGGGAAUCUUCCGCAAUGGGCGAAAGCCAGACGGAGCAACGCCGCGUGAGUGAUGAAGGUCUUCGGAUCGUAAAACUCUGUUAUUAGGGAAGAACAAAUGUGUAAGUAACUAUGCACGUCUUGACGGUACCUAAUCAGAAAGCCACGGCUAACUACGUG
rnacentral:rRNA from 1 species